AGCUUCACAGUGAUUUUGCCGGUUACCAGUUAGCAGUACCAAAGUUGAUGUGGCUUUUGCACCAUUGAUAAGUACUUAAUAAAAAAAGCGAAAGUUGAUAAUGGAGGCGGACCUGAAGUCUCAAUUAAGCAAACCAAUGGGGAUUGGGGAACUGAAGUCUAAAGUAAUGAAAGCACUGGUGAAGAGACGAUGCAAAAUGACAAACGAAAGUUUCGAAAAGAGUGGAUUACUAACUUUUCCUGGCUUCAAGAACGAGACGGCAAAGCGUUUGUUAGAGCAUGCGAAAAUACUCUAAUGAAUCACGCUUCACACUUGAAACUGCACCAAGAAAAAG